AUGUCGGAGCAAUGUUAGUAACUGUAGUAUGAUUACUGAAUUAUAAAAGUAGCGCGUUACACUACUCCGUUACCGACAAGAGUAAUAUUAUUACAGUAACGCGUUACACCCAACUCUCAACAUAAGUAUGAUUGAAACGCCAUUACCCUCUCAACAACAAAUACAUUAUUAUUAUUAACAGACAGAACAGACGUGACUAGGAACUCUCAAGUAAACACGUGUUUAGUUUAAAUAAAGCCUCUCAUUUUUGGUAUAGAGCUUUGAAAUAGGGCUUUGAAUUUGAAACAUUAAGGCUUCUACACAAUUUCUGAACACACAUGGCAGCAGUUAAUGCAGAAAAAAAAGAAAGGCACAGUAAAGCUGAGAGUCAUUCACAUCCCUAGAAUGCGUGGGGGGCGGGGUUCAUAACCCUUUAGGAAACGCCCCCUAUAGGAUCCGCCCCCUUUAGGAUCCGCCUCCUUGCUGCGGUCUGCAUCCAGACCCAUCUCCCCGUCGCCGCCCCCACCCCCCGAAGGCCGGAUUAACCAUAUGGGCAACCUGGGCAAGUACCCAGGGGCCCUUGAACAAAGAGGGCCCUCAGUGAGAAGAUGAAAAAAAAUUAUUUUUUAUUAUUUUAUUAUUAUUAUUCUUUUCUUUCCGGGUACAACCUCACUCAUCAUACAUUGUUUUAAAUGACACUCACUCUUCGCUAUAAAUAACACAGCUUUUCUAUAGGGUCAAAUUAAUAUAUUUUCUAAACCGUCUCUGUACUGUAGGUCUCACUAUGUAUGCGCUCAACUUUAUUACUACGCAGUGGUGGUGUAUAGCCGAAUCACAGCCCCACCCUCACUCAUGUCACAUUUUGUCACAUGAGCAGAAAAAAUGGAGGGUGCCGGUAGCCAAACGCCCAGCGGGGCUGCGAAAAGAAAGUAAAAGAAGAGUGAGUGGCGGCUUUAUUAAAAAAUGUGCCAACAAUAAAUAGCUUUUUCAAAAAAGCAAAAAGUGACGAAAUAGGCCAGCAACAACCACAAGGAACAGUGGCGGCGGUCACGGAGGAUGUUGUUGAGCUAGCGAACAAUGUUAGCCUUGAACCUAGCAUGCUAACGCAGCAGCGGGUAGAAGAGGAGGAAAAAGAUGAAGACGAGCCUGACGAGGACGUCACAGAGCAGGGUGAAGGUUCGAGUUCAUCUGAAGUGUGUCUCUCAGGACCCUGCACAAUGUGGAUUAAUUGCUGGAAAGAUCCGGGAGGAGACUUUGAUGAAAGGGGUUUCAUACUUUCAUAAUCGGGCAACGAAGUAUCCAGCAUCUCGGAGGGAGACCGAUGCUAGCGGCCGGACACGCUCACUGACCAACGAUAUGCUGACCAGACAGCUUCACAAUGGAGAAAUCGUUCAACGCGAUUGGAUUAUUUAUUCUCCAUUACCGGAGCAAUUUAUUGUUUUGCCUGCAAACUUUUAUCCACUCACAGCCACAGCAAUGCAUUUGUUCUCGGCUUUAGUGAUUGGAAGCAUCCCGAGAGGAUAACGGAACAUGAGACGAGUGGUGAGCACAGAAAAUGCAUACUUUCACAUGGGCACUGUGGAUGCUUCUCUAGGGAUGCAGGUCGACACAGAAAGUCAGUAGCCUACUGGAAGGAUGUAUUGAGACGUGUAGUUGCGGUGAUUACAUUCUUGAGUGAGAGGGGGCUUCCUUUCCGGGGAAAUUACGAACUUUUAGGAUCCUCACAUAACGGGAACUACCUGGGAAUCCUGGAGCUGCUCGCGCCAUUUUUAAAGGAUCAUUUUCAGAAGUUUGGCCAGAAGGGACGUGGUAGGACUUCAUACUUGUCAUCAAUCUGUGAGAAGUUUAUUGGUUUGACGGGUGACAGAACAAAGGAAGCAAUAGCAACAGAACUACAGCGAGCAAGGUAUUUCUCUGUCAUCGUAGAUUCUACACCUGACAUGUCUCACGUCGACCAAUUAACUUUCGUUUUCCGAUUUGUGAGUGAGAAAGGAAAAGUUAUUGAGAGAUUUAUUGGAUUUGAACCCAUUCACAGUCACACUGGGUCAAGUCUGGCUGACUGUGUGAUGAAGAUGUUCAUUGAUAUGGGGCUGGAUCUCUCAAACUGCCGUGGCCAGGCUUAUGACAAGCAUCCAACAUGUCAGGAAAAUAUAAUGGGCUGCAAGUUCAUCUCAAGAAAAGCAACCCACUCAUACAUUACAUUCCGUGCGCAGCACAUUCCUUGAAUUUGGUUGGUGUCAACUGUGUUGAAAAUAGUUGCCGUGAAGCAAGCCAGUUUUUUGAUAUACUUCAAGCACUUUUUGCUUUUUGCUCUGCUUCUACCCACCGAUGGAAUAAAGUGUUCACUGAAAACGUCACGCUGACACUAAAAUCUCUCUCCUGAACAAGAUGGAGCUGCAGAGGAGACUCCACGAGAGCUCUUUGUGAGAAUUACACUGCAAUAUGAGGGGCUUCACAAAUGUUGGCGGCUGAUGACGAAGAGCGUCAGGACACACGGCGAGAGGCCUCUGCGCUGUGUGGCAAACUUGAGAAACUAGAGACUGCUCUGCUGACAAUAUUUUGGAACACUGUACUGCACCAAUUCAAGCUUACGAGCACUGGCUUGCAAAAGAAAGACAUUGACCUAAUGACCGCUGUGCAACUUUUGGAAUCGCUGCACACUUAUGUUGCAUCACUACGAGGGACAUUUUCAGACUUUGAGACAUCUGCCCGGGCCGUCGCGGCGUGACACAGACAUACCAGCACGAGACUCACCAUGUUGGUAAAAGACGAGUAUUUGAUGACGAGACAGUGGAGCACGAGGUGGUACUGACUGGCAGUACAAAAUUCAAGGUUGAGACAUUCAAUGUAAUUAUUGACAGGUUGCUCUCAGGACUUAGCAAACGCCUGGAUGCAUACAAAGACAUACAUGAUGACUUUGGAGUCCUAUUUGACAUGUGCUGUGAUGACACUGAUCUCCGCAGACGGGCCAAUAUUCUCUCCUCAUCAUAUCCUACUGACUUGGAUAAGUCAUUAGGAGAUGAGCUGAUCCAGUUUAGAGCUUUUGUCAGCACAGAGCCAGAUAAGGUGCUUAAACAUGGACUACAGACAACAUUCCCCAAUGUUUUUGUUGCGCUCAGGAUUUUUCUCACACUGCCUGUAACCAACAGCUUAAACGUAUCAAAAAUGAACUUAGGACAACCAUGGCUCAGAAGAGACUUUCAGCUCUUUCUUUGAUGGCCAUCGAGUCUGAUCUUGUGAGGGAUCUGGAUUUUGAUGACCUGAUCACAGACUUUUCAAAGAGAAAGGCAAGGAAGAAACACUUCUAAAAGGCUUUGCAUUUGAACUCCUAUGACUGGUUAUGGACUUGAAGGGAACGACUUCCUGGCCUUCCUGACAUCCAGGAAAAUGUAGAAAUCUACUGGAACCUAACACCAGAGAGAGAGAGAGAGGGAGGAGAUGAUAUGCAGCAAAAGGCCGAGCCGGAUGGUUGCUGCUCCGUGUGGAACGUGUUCUAUCAGAAAGGAUCAUGCCAGCCCACAUCAAACACCUGAUCAAGAACUUGUGAAUCUUCAGGCAGAAAAGAUGAAAACACCUGUUCAAAGUUCCAGUUUCCUGUACAUGGAACCAUGCCUGUCCUCUGUUCCACAUGUCUUCAGUCAGUCCUGGGGCCUGUACUACGAAGCAGGAUUUUUGCUUAGCCGGCUAACUUCUGGGAAAACUCCGGCGUUCCGGUCCUACAACGCUGGUUCUCUUUUUAGCGGGCUAGCUCUCCAUGGCAACUUAUGCUGAGCGGCUAACCUGCCCCGGAGCAGGUUAGGUUGCAGGCUAAGAGCUCA